AUGAGUUGUUUUCAGCUUCCGGUGACUACGUGUGAGAAAUUCCGUCAAAUUAUUUCAGACCAUUGGUGGGGCAGGGAAAAUGGUAAGAAGAAGCUGCACUGGCGAUCCUGGGAGUGGCUCACUACGCCAAAAUCCCUAGGGGGAAUGGGCUUCCGUGAUAUGGCGCUUUUUAAUCAAGCUAUGCUUGGAAAGCAAGGAUGGCGCUUACUCACAGAACCAGAUUCGUUAUGUGCCCGGGUUCUCAAAGGCAGAUACUUCCCUCAAGGAGACUUUUGGAAUGCUAUAGCUCCUCGGUCCGCAUCAGUCACGUGGCGUAGUAUCCUUUAUGGCCGGGAUCUUUUGAAGCAAGGGAUUUGUUGGGGGAUUGGUGAUGGUAAAAGCACUCGUAUAUUGUCUGAUCAUUGGAUCCCA
rnacentral:rRNA from 1 species